AUGGGCUCCAGACUCUUCUUUGUGGUUUUGAGUCUCCUGUGGGCAAAACACAUGGAGGCUGCAGUCACCCAAAGCCCAAGAAAGAAGGUGGCAGUAACAGGAGGAAAGGUGACAUUGAACUGUCACCAGACUAAUAACCAUGACUAUAUGUACUGGUAUCGGCAGGACAUGGGGCAUGGACUGAGGCUGCUCCAUUAUUCAUAUGUUGCUAACAGCACUGAGAAAGGAGAUGUCCCUGAUGGGUACAAGGCCUCCAGACCAAGCCAAGAGGACUUCUCUCUCAUUCUGGAGUUGGCUUCCCUCUCUCAGACAGCUGUAUAUUUCUGUGCCAGCAGUGAUGCACAGUGA